ensembl:miRNA Mir467g microRNA 467g
GUCUUGUGCAUGCAUAUAUAUAUAUGUGUGUGUGUGUAUAUAUAUAUACAUAUAUAUACAUACAUACACAUGUAUAUGUAUAUAUACAUACACACACAUAUAUAUAUUCAUGUAUAUAUAUA